AAAUAUGAAUCAUUUAAUUAAUGAAUUUAAUUUCGACUUAAAAUAAGAGAUUUUAAUCUCCAUAUUUA
rnacentral:tRNA from 1 species